AUGAAAACAAUUCUUAAGAGAGGGAGUGGAGGACAAUCAAAAGAACACAGACCUAGAAGGAGGCAGAACAAAGAGCGAGUUAUUUCAGCCUUCUCACUUAUUCAACUUGCAACUCUAAUUUGUCCGUCUAUCUCCUUGCCCAUCCGAUGGAAAAGCGAGAUUGUUUUGAGGAUUCGCCAAAAGACGCUAGAGACGCAAACACCGGCGCACCAACACACCAUAAAGAAGCUUUAUUACUUCAGCUUACGGCCAGCAGUCGGGCGCUGCUGCUGGGAAGUCGCGGUUCUCCUGAAAGCCCCGAGCCGGGUAAACGCGUUCCUUGUCAGUCAUUGGAGCGCCCU
rnacentral:lncRNA from 1 species